rnacentral:rRNA from 1 species
CCUACGGGAGGCAGCAGUGAGGAAUAUUGGUCAAUGGACUUACGCCUGAACCAGCCAAGUCGCGUGAGGGAAGACUGCCCUAUGGGUUGUAAACUUCUUUUAUAAAGGAAUAAAGUGAGGCACGUGUGCCUUUUUGUAUGUACUUUAUGAAUAAGGAUCGGCUAACUCCGUUCCAGCAGCCGCGGUAAUACGGAGGAUCCGAGCGUUAUCCGGAUUUAUUGGGUUUAAAGGGAGCGUAGAUGGGUUGUUAAGUCAGUUGUGAAAGUUUGCGGCUCAACCGUAAAAUUGCAAUUGAUACUGGCAGCCUUGAGUACAGUUGAGGUAGGCGGAAUUCGUGGUGUAGCGGUGAAAUGCUUAGAUAUCACGAAGAACUCCGAUUGCGAAGGCAGCUCACUAAACUGCCACUGACAUUGAUGCUCGAAAGUGUGGGUAUCAAACAGGAUUAGAUACCCGGGUAGUC